rnacentral:lncRNA from 1 species
GGUUUCUACUGUAGACCUUUAAAUAUUACAAAAUAACAGGCACAGAUGCAGUUUGAGGGUUUCUUUUUUCAUGUCUUCGUCAACUCAAGCUCUAUCAAAACUUCUUUUAGAACAGCGAUGUCAGCAGCAGCAGCUUGGUCCAGCAACAGAGGAGUGGCUGGUGUCAGAGCCACUAAAGGCCUGUUCUUCAUCUUCACUCUGCUGUGUCUGGUUUGCCUCUCAAGUUCACUGAUUCAUAAAGACCAUCUGGAAGAAAUGAGGCAAGAGCUUCAGGAAUCACAAAGAAAAAUGGACAGCCUGAAGGCACAGUACAAGUCAAAACUGGCGACUACUCCAGAGCUCAUGAGUGAAUUUAGGAGUCUCGUGGACCCACUGAUAGCAUUCCUGAAGAAAGCCUCGAUUGAAUGUCCUGUCUUUUUGCCACUGGAGGGAAUGAUGGAGAACAUCAAGGACUUCAUGGAGGAAACCAGCGAGAAGAGUGAGGAGUUAACUUUACAAAUAAAGAUGGCUGACAAGCAACUGGGAUAUUACCAGAAAUUCAUCAAAUUCAUUGAAGAGCAAGAAGCUGAACUGUAACUCCCAUGUCACUUAGUUCCUAUAUCUCUGAUAUUGUAUCUGUUUAAUCGCAUUACUCAAUUUACAUUUACAUUUUUCUAUUUCCUGGCAUUGAAAUCAUGAUUUCAUUUGAGCUGUUUGUCAUAUGAAUCAGAGAAGGACUCCCAAUUGAAAAGGAUAGUGUGGAUGAUGUUUUAAUACACUUUUAUAAAAUACAUUUACUAAUGUAUGGAUAUGCAAGCAUCACCAUUUAGAAAGUGGAAAACAAUCUUUAUGCCAGAUGACACAAUUAACAGAUUUAACUGCUAGUUAGCUCAAAUAUUGGGGUAGAUUAUUGAGGUCUCUGAUGUUUUUGUGUUCUUCUGCUGGGUUAUUUUCAGUUUCUUUGAAGUAACAGAAACAAUAAAACAAACAAUAAUAUUCUGUCUACAUUCUUCCACAUAUGACUUGUAUGGUUAUUAUUUAGAUAUCAUAUAUUAAUACUGGGGAAAGCUGUUUAAAAACAAGUUGAACUAUUGUAAAGUGAUUCAGCCUGUGCGCAACCCAAAUAAAUUCCAUACAUAGGAAGUGUUGUUGUCUUCUUUCUCUCCAAUUCUAAAUAACCAAGAGUUUAAUCCAAAUAAUACAAAUGACACAUUGCUGCUGAGUCAACUUCUCUCCACUUGUGUUGCUAGACUCAGAUCAGUUAAAGACAUUUUUGUACAUACAAAGUCUCUUCUGAUUAGGAUCAGUGAUGACGUGUUUGUGGAAAUCUUUCACUGUAUGAUGAUGUUGUUGGCUGAAGUGGUAAAGAAUGAACUACAACUUCAAACUAAAG